rnacentral:lncRNA from 1 species
ACAGCUAUGUAAAACUAUUUUUGAAUUCUACAGCGGGGGCAAGUGGUGGCGCUUAUGGUAGCCAAAUGAUGGGAGGGAUGAGCUUACCCAACCAGUCUAGUUAUAGAGGUCCUGCUGAGUGGUGGUUACGGAAGUGCUUAUGGUGGUCAGAGCAGUGUGAGUGGAUAUGACCAAGUUCUGCAGGAAAACUCCAGUGACUAUCAGUCAAACCUUGCUU